GUGAGGAAUAUUGGUCAAUGGGCGGGAGCCUGAACCAGCCAAGUCGCGUGAAGGAAGAAGGAUCUAUGGUUCGUAAACUUCUUUUGCAGGGGAAUAAAGUGCAGGACGUCUCCUGUUUUGUAUGUACCCUGAGAAUAAGGAUCGGCUAACUCCGUGCCAGCAGCCGCGGUAAUACGGAGGAUCCGAGCGUUAUCCGGAUUUAUUGGGUUUAAAGGGUGCGUAGGUGGUUUGAUAAGUCAGCGGUGAAAGUUUGCAGCUUAACUGUAAAAAUGCCGUUGAAACUGUCGGACUUGAGUGUAAAUGAGGUAGGCGGAAUGCGUGGUGUAGCGGUGAAAUGCAUAGAUAUCACGCAGAACUCCGAUUGCGAAGGCAGCUUACUAAGCUACAACGGACACUGAAGCACGAAAGCGUGGGGAUCAAACAGGAUUAGAAACCCGUGUAGUCC
rnacentral:rRNA from 1 species